GGAUCAAUUUGUUGGUCGUGCCUCGGUACGUACUGGUAUUAUUGGUUUCUACCUUCUGAAGAACCUUGAUGUCAUUAAUUUGGUGUCUUGGGGAAUCAGGACUGUUACUUUGAAAAAAUUAGAGUGUUUAAAGCAAGCAUACGCUUGAAUACAUUAGCAUGGAAUAAUGAAAUAGGACGUUUGAUUCUAUUUUGUUGGUUUCUAGGAUCGACGUAAUGAUUAAUAGGGAUAGUUGGG
rnacentral:rRNA from 1 species